GCAGUUUCAGAAAACCUUUCUCUCGGCUGGACGGCACGCUCACCGUUAUCUCCCUCAAGAGCUGAGUAUGAGCGUUUCCCCUCCUGGAUGGAGCCAGGAGGAUCUAUUACUCUGUCAAAGCUCCUCUCCCUCUGGGGGAACCUUGUCUGCUUUCAGUGUAGGGACUGCACCGGGUGACACUUUAAAAGGUUAGCAGGCAUUGUGACCUAGUGGACCAGACCUGCCCAUCUGAGGAGGGGAAACCCACCAUGUCAUAGUGUAAAGUAUGUUCACCCUGUUACCCGUUGACACCUGCUGAACAUUGACAUGUUAACAUGUAUAUUUGUGAAAUAAAGCUGCAUUCUAUUUGGUCA